GAGGGGUCGGAGAGAGCACCUCUCUUGCUUCUGUUCCUUUCCCUCUCAUUCACCCCGUCCUUCCCCCCUCUGGCCUCUGCGUCUUGCAUGUCUAUGUUGUUUUCUGCUUCUUAGGCUCUUAGUUUUCUUUAUCCAUUCAGCGGGUAAGGUUCACCAGAGAAGAAGAAGCGUAUCGAUGGCUUCAUGGAACUCUUUCUCCAAGGGGCGGGGUUGGUAAAUCUUCUGCCUGACUCUCCCUCUUCGGUCGUUUCUGCCAUGAACAUCACCUUCUAAGGUCAUGUGGAUGCAAUUGCAGUUUCGAGGAUCCAGCAAUUUCUGUUGAACUUGCAGUGUAACAUAUGUAGAAGAGGAUGUGGUGCAGGAGCAAAAAAUGGAGCAUCUUUGUACCAUGCAUUUAAGUAGAAUAAAUACAAAAGGUGCUUAUCAGAAUGAGCAGAUGCUUCAUCUUUUGCCUUGGCACAUCUGAAGCGGCAUGGUGUUUGAGGUGUGGCAGUAAGAGCAGGAGUCCCAAUCAAUCAAGCCAGACCUCAUGAAGCAGCUGUUUGACAUGUUUUGUUUUCUUCUGGACAUUCAUAACCCAAGUAUGGCAUCUACCAUGGCCCCUUCUCCAGCAAUUCAGACACCAUCACGUUAGUUUUUUAUGCCGGAGGAUGUGUAUGCACCGUAAAUUUAAGUCUAUGUCCACCACCAGAGCCCCACCAUUAAUGCAUGGGCUUCAUAAUGAUGCUAACGCUUUGGUGGCUCACAGGAAUGAACCCAUCUGGUUAGGAUGUGCAUGGACACCUUAGUAAUCUGGUUCUACACGUGGGGCUGAGGCUCGGUGUUCGUGGACCUCCUUGACAUACUCAAGUUUUGACCCCACAGUUGGAAAAGGCAAGUCUUAAAUUGGAUACAAAUCUGUAAUCGGUGUUAGCUGCAUUCGCUACGGGAAAUCGAGAUAAUCCCGAGUCAGAUUGGACUUUGAUUUUGUGGGAAAAUCCGAUACAAUUGGUGCAGAAAAGAAGUUCCAGGCUAUGUUGCGGGGCGACUGCUUGGCGUCGGAGUUCCGGGCUCCGGUGGGCGGCAGCUUUCCGGCAGCGACGACCCUCUUGGCAAAGGCGUCCAGCCGCUCACAGUUGGGCUGGGCGGCGAGCUUCUUGCCGCCGAAGGGCAGGGACUCCAUGCUCUUCUCCUGCAGCAUCUUCUCGCCAGCGUUCAGAAAGGCCUUCACGCUCCUCACUGACCACCCGUCCAUGCCGGCCUCCAACUCCUUAGGGAGGUAGCUUGCCUGCAUCAUAAGCAUUCAAUCAACAAACAAUCCAGAAGCAAAUUCCGCACUUGUCUACCCUUUGCAUGUAAGCUUUCCGGGAGACCGAGACCAUUAGCAUGACGAGGAAAGAUUUUUAAUGGGCUGCGGCAAACUCGGCCGUCAAUAUCAGUAUGCUGUCCAGUGUCAACAGCACUAAGAAAUCGUCAUGUGCAGAAAAUAACGCAAUAACGUAUUGUUUGGCUGGAUUAACCCGCCACCGCCGUUUCCCUGCUCCCGCUAAAUCCGGUUGUCUGUGGAGUAGCAUGAUUCCGGCUGAGCCAUCUGCAACUCCAGACCAGCAAUGGCCCCUACCACCUACUUGCCGUUCUACCUAGCGUGCUCGCCAUUAAUAAACAGGCCAUCCUCUAAUU